UACGUAUGGAGCAAGCGUUAUCCGGAUUUACUGGGUGUAAAGGGUGCGUAGGUGGCGGUGCAAGUCAGAUGUGAAAGGCCGGGGCUCAACCCCGGAGCUGCAUUUGAAACUGCUCGGCUAGAGUACAGGAGAGGCAGGCGGAAUUCCUAGUGUAGCGGUGAAAUGCGUAGAUAUUAGGAGGAACACCAGUGGCGAAGGCGGCCUGCUGGACUGUUACUGACACUGAGGCACGAAAGCGUGGGGAGCAAACAGG
rnacentral:rRNA from 1 species